rnacentral:rRNA from 1 species
AUUGAACGCUGGCGGCAGGCCUAACACAUGCAAGUCGAACGAGUGGCGGACGGGUGAGUAAUGUCUGGGAAACUGCCUGAUGGAGGGGGAUAACUACUGGAAACGGUAGCUAAUACCGCAUACCAUCAGAUGUGCCCAGAUGGGAUUAGCUUGUUGGUGGGGUAAAGGCUCACCAAGGCGACGAUCCCUAGCUGGUCUGAGAGGAUGACCAGCCACACGUGAACUGAGACACGGUCCAGACUCCUACGGGAGGCAGCAGGGGGGAAUAUUGCACAAUGGGCGCAAGCCUGAUGCAGCCAGGCCGCGUGUGUGAAGAAGGUCUUCGGUUUGUAAAGUACUUUCAGUUGGGAGGCGUUACCCGCAGAAGAAGCACCGGCUAACUUCGUGCCAGCAGCCGCGGUAAUUC